AUCCAACACGUUUUCUUUAGUUCCUGACAGCCAUCUGAUUCAUUCAGACAUGAGGUAAUGGCUCAGAGCCUGAUAAUUUACACUAUCCCAUUAUGAGACUUGACAGUUAGCUACGUGUUGUUUCACAGCCUCUUUCAAUUGCUCUUUUUAGCUGCAGCUUCAAUUUAUCUGUUAAUUGUGAUGCUCUUCACUCCCAGACCUUUAACUCUGAUCUGGAUUGUAUUUAUGGGAACUGUCAUGCAGAGAAUGUUUUGGAUUUAGCAAUUUAAGACUCAGACAAUUUACUUGAUGCGGCAGCGAGCUUUAUGAAAACAAGUUGAGGUGGAGAUGAACUCCAUGUGCAUCUGUGAACGAGUUUGGUGACUGACGAAAAGGAAGUGAAAGUGGAAGAAAAGACUGAAUGCCAGACUGAGAUGACUGACAGUGAUGCAGAUCAGCUCAGGGAAAGAAAUGGAGCCAAUCAAUGUCAGCACAGAGCUAUGAUUUUUGAAGAAACACUUAACAAAUAAAGACCUAAUUUUUCCUUCAAA